rnacentral:rRNA from 1 species
CUUACUGCAUUUUUUCUUACACAUGUGUUUUUCUUUUUUUGAAAACUUUGCUUUGGUAGGCCUUCUAUAUGGGGCCUGCCAGAGAUUAAACUCAACCAAAUUUUAUUUAAUGUCAACCGAUUAUUUAAUAGUCAAAACUUUCAACAACGGAUCUCUUGGUUCUCGCAUCGAUGAAGAACGCAGCGAAAUGCGAUAAGUAAUAUGAAUUGCAGAUAUUCGUGAAUCAUCGAAUCUUUGAACGCACAUUGCGCCCUUUGGUAUUCCAAAGGGCAUGCCUGUUUGAGCGUCAUUUCUCCCUCAAACCCUCGGGUUUGGUGUUGAGCGAUACGCUGGGUUUGCUUGAAAGAAAGGCGGAGUAUAAACUAAUGGAUAGGUUUUUUCCACUCAUUGGUACAAACUCCAAAACUUCUUCCAAAUUCGACCUCAAAUCAGGUAGGACUACCCGCUGAACUUAAGCAUAUCAAUAAGCGGAGGAAAUUGACCC